rnacentral:rRNA from 1 species
CCUACGAGAGGCCGCAGUGAGGAAUAUUGGUCAAUGGGCGAGAGCCUGAACCAUCCAAGUCGCGUGAGGGAGUACUGCCCUAUGGGUUGUACACCUCUUUUGUCGGGGAGCAAAAGCCGGACGUGUCCGGCUGUGAGAGUACCCGACGAAAAAGCAUCGGCUAACUCCGUGCCAGCAGCCGCGGUACUACGUGGGAUGCGAGCGUUAUCCGGAUUUAUUGGGUUUAAAGGUUGCGCAGCCGGAUUUUUAAGUCAGCGGUAAAAUCGUGGGGCUCAACCCCAUCCACCCGUUGAAACUGGGGAUCGAGAGUGUGCGAGAGGUAUGCGGAAUGCGUGGUGGAGCGGUGAAAUGCAGAG